UAAAAUAGGAAUUACCGACCUUUAUGGGUUCAAAAAUCAAAAUUGAGUACUUGGAUAUGUUAAUGGGAAUUUUUGGAAUUAUUUGGGAAAAUUAAUUUGAAAUCUAAUUUGUCUGAUUCGUUAAUGGACGUUUGGGUGAUUAACUUUAUAUUGCAAAUUAAAGGCCUUAAAGACUUCAGAUACCGGAACAGGGGACAUAUUUAUGAUCAGCAUAAUUUUUAGAGUUAUCUGGGAAGUUUAAUUGAAAUGUGAUUUUGUGCGAUUCGUAAGGGCGUGUUUGGCCCUUCCUAUUUGUGGGAAGCUUUUAUAUAUGCAUAUGUGCCUUAUGAGUUGUUGAACUCAUCUAUUUUGAACCAAACAAAAAAUAAAAAUAUCUAGAGAAAGGGGAAGGAGAACCGUGAGAGAGAGAGGGAGAGAGAGAGAAGAGGCAAAGCUUCUCCCUAAGGAAUUCAACAUCCAUGGAAGCUUGAAGAUGGUUGAAGAAGAUAGAAGAGAGAGGAAAGAUCAACCAAAAGCUGAGGAAAAAUUGAAGAGACUAAGGGAUGAACAAAGGUUUGGGUAAGGUCGAGACGAGGACAUUGUACCAUUACCACCGGGAACCGAUCACUGUAACCAACCAAGUGGUCAGUCCUAGUCAUGACACCCGUUUUCUUUUGUCAACCUCCAUGGGUUCAGGCACUGCACGAAGCCAUUUAUUUUUGUAAAGUCUAUUGAAAUGUUGGCUUAAUUUUGAUUACCCAUUUAAAGUUAAAGAGGUAGAACUUCAAUGAUUUUUUUAUAUAAGCCCAAUGAUGGGGCUGGGUCUGUACAUAUGGUUGUUUAUCACCGAUGCUACAACAUAUGGUUUGGAGCUUUAUCUAUUUUCCAUGAUGAAUGUGAUGUAUAAGAGGUCCUGGCAUGUAGAUGUAGCUCAAUGGAAUUUAUAUGUAUAGUUAUUUUCCUACUUUAUGCUUC